rnacentral:rRNA from 1 species
UACGUAGGGUGCAAGCGUUUGUCCGGAAUUAUUGGGCGUAAAGAGCUCGUAGGCGGUUCGUCGCGUCGGCUGUGAAAUCCCGAGGCUCAACCUCGGGUCUGCAGUCGAUACGGGCGGACUGGAGUACUGCAGGGGAGACUGGAAUUCCUGAUGUAGCGGUGAAAUGCGCAGAUAUCAGGAGGAACACCGGUGGCGAAGGCGGGUCUCUGGGCAGUACUGACGCUGAGGAGCGAAAGCG